GAAGGUGUGCUGUGAGGCAUGCUGGAGGUAUCAGAAGUGCGAAUGCUGACAUAAGUAACGAUAAAGCGGGUGAAAAGCCCGCUCGCCGGAAGACCAAGGGUUCCUGUCCAACGUUAAUCGGGGCAGGGUGAGUCGACCCCUAAGGCGAGGCCGAAAGGCGUAGUCGAUGGGAAACAGGUUAAUAUUCCUGUACUUGGUGUUACUGCGAAGGGGGGACGGAGAAGGCUAUGUUGGCCGGGCGACGGUUGUCCCGGUUUAAGCGUGUAGGCUGGUUUUCCAGGCAAAUCCGGAAAACUAAGGCUGAGGCGUGAUGACGAGGCACUACGGUGCUGAAGCAACAAAUGCCCUGCUUCCAGGAAAAGCCUCUAAGCAUCAGGUAACAUCAAAUCGUACCCCAAACCGACACAGGUGGUCAGGUAGAGAAUACCAAGGCGCUUGAGAGAACUCGGGUGAAGGAACUAGGCAAAAUGGUGCCGUAACUUCGGGAGAAGGCACGCUGAUAUGUAGGUGAGGUCCCUCGCGGAUGGAGCUGAAAUCAGUCGAAGAUACCAGCUGGCUGCAACUGUUUAUUAAAAACACAGCACUGUGCAAACACGAAAGUGGACGUAUACGGUGUGACGCCUGCCCGGUGCCGGAAGGUUAAUUGAUGGGGUUAGCGGUAACGCGAAGCUCUUGAUCGAAGCCCCGGUAAACGGCGGCCGUAACUAUAACGGUCCUAAGGUAGCGAAAUUCCUUGUCGGGUAAGUUCCGACCUGCACGAAUGGCGUAAUGAUGGCCAGGCUGUCUCCACCCGAGACUCAGUGAAAUUGAACUCGCUGUGAAGAUGCAGUGUACCCGCGGCAAGACGGAAAGACCCCGUGAACCUUUACUAUAGCUUGACACUGAACAUUGAGCCUUGAUGUGUAGGAUAGGUGGGAGGCUUAGAAGUGUGGACGCCAGUCUGCAUGGAGCCGACCUUGAAAUACCACCCUUUAAUGUUUGAUGUUCUAACGUGGACCCGUGAUCCGGGUUGCGGACAGUGUCUGGUGGGUAGUUUGACUGGGGCGGUCUCCUCCUAAAGAGUAACGGAGGAGCACGAAGGUUGGCUAAUCCUGGUCGGACAUCAGGAGGUUAGUGCAAUGGCAU
rnacentral:rRNA from 1 species